AUUGAACGCUGGCGGCAGGCCUAACACCUGCAAGUCGAGCGGAGAGGCGGACGGGUGAGUAAUGACUAGGAAUCUGACUGGUAGUAGGGGAUAACGUCCGGAAAUGGGGGCUAAUACCGCAUACUCUCAGAAGAGCCUAGGUCUGAUUAGCUAGUUGGUGGGGUAAAGGCCUACCAAGGCAACGAUGCGUAACUGGUCUGAGAGGAUGAUCAGUCACCCGAGAACUGAGACACGGUCCAGACUCCUACGGCAGGCAGCAGUGGGGAAUAUUGGACAAUGGGCGAAAGCCUGAUGCAGCCAGGCCGCGUGUGUGAAGAAGGUGUUCGUAUUGUAAAGUACUUUAAGUUGGGAGGCGUUACCCGCAGAAUAAGCACCUGCUAAGUCCGUGCCAGCAGCCGCGGUAAUAC
rnacentral:rRNA from 1 species